UAGGUGUAAUAAUUUAGUACUAUGAGGAAAAUAUAUUAUCGAAAAGAACUUCCCUUUUGUAUCAGGGUUUAUUUAAUUUUAAAUUAUUACAAUUUUUCGAAAUUUUAUGGUCUAAAUAUGUGUUGUAUAAAAAAUAAUAUUUUUAGUGAUGAAAUGUUUUCGAAUAUAAUUAACUAAUUUUAUACUAUUUUUAUUAAAGGUAAGUUUUAAUUUUAUAAAAUUAAUUAUUAUAAAGUAUAAUAAUACUUAAAAUAGAAUUAAGGGUUUAUUAAUAAUAAAAUUACUAUAGUAUGAAUAAUAUUAUAAAUAACUCGUAAUUUCUUUGAAUGUUUAUCAAAAACAUUUCUUUAUAAAUAUGUUAAGUAAGGCCUGCCCGAUGUAAUUAUGAAUGGCUGCGGUAUUGUGACCGUGCUAAGGUAGCA
rnacentral:rRNA from 1 species